rnacentral:lncRNA from 1 species
UAGACUUAUACUUUAAUUCCCUCUAAAGGAAAAUAAUAUUGCCAUAUCUAGGUAUACACCAGUGGGGAAUAUUUGUCGUUUGGCGAUUUCAUUCUUCAACUUAACAAGUUUUUAUCUUAUUUCCAAAUCACCCAAAAAAAAACCUCAAAAAAUUCAAUUUAUCUCCAAAUUACAAUCAUUAUCGUUGUGUGUGAUUCAUUAUUUUCGGAAUAAAAUUUAUCCAAACAGCACAGCCAGAGGCGAAAUUAUGGAGCAAACAAAGAUGAUGGCUCCCUCAAAAAAUUUUGAUAAU